GGAAUCUUGCACAAUGGGCGAAAGCCUGACGACGCAACGCCGCGUGGAGGAUGAAGAAUUUCGGUUCGUAAACUCCUUUCGACCGAGAUGAAUAUCCUGCGAUUUAAUACGUCGCGGGACUGACAGUAUCGAGAGAAGAAGCCCCGGCUAACUCUGUGCCAGCAGCCGCGGUAAUACAGGGGGGGCAAGCGUUGUUCGGAAUUACUGGGCGUAAAGGGUGCGUAGGUGGCCAACUAAGUCAGACGUGAAAUCCCUCAGCUUAACUGGGGAACUGCGUCUGAUACUGGUUGGCUUGAGUGCAGGAGAGGAAUGCGGAAUUCCAGGUGUAGCGGUGAAAUGCGUAGAUAUCUGGAGGAACACCGGUGGCGAAGGCGGCAUUCUGGACUGUAACUGACACUGAGGAACGAAAGCCAGGGGAGCAA
rnacentral:rRNA from 1 species